UACGUAGGGUGCUAGCGUUGUUCGGAAUCAUUGGGCGUAAAGCGCGUGUAGGCGGUUUGUUAAGUCGGAUGUGAAAUCCCUGGGCUCAACCGAGGAAGGGCAUUCGAAACUAACUGGCUGGAAGAUGGUAGAGGAAGGUGGAAUUCCUAGUGUAGAGGUGAAAUUCGUAGAUAUUAGGAGGAAUACCGGUGGCGAAGGCGGCCUUCUGGACCAUUCUUGACGCUGAGACGCGAAAGCGUGGGUAGCGAACAGG
rnacentral:rRNA from 1 species